UACGUAGAGUGCAAGCGUUAAUCGGAAUUACUGGGCGUAAAGCGUGCGCAGGCGGUGAUGUAAGACAGAUGUGAAAUCCCCGGGCUCAACCUGGGAACUGCAUUUGUGACUGCAUCGCUGGAGUACGGCAGAGGGGGAUGGAAUUCCGCGUGUAGCAGUGAAAUGCGUAGAUAUGCGGAGGAACACCGAUGGCGAAGGCAAUCCCCUGGGCCUGUACUGACGCUCAUGCACGAAAGCGUGGGGAGCAAACAGG
rnacentral:rRNA from 1 species